CCUACGGGCGGCUGCAGUGGGGAAUAUUGCGCAAUGGGCGAAAGCCUGACGCAGCGACGCCGCGUGAGGGAUGAAGGUCUUCGGAUCGUAAACCUCUGUCAGCAGGGAAGAACGGUCACUGUGCUAAUCAGCAGUGAAUUGACGGUACCUGCAAAGGAAGCACCGGCUAACUCCGUGCCAGCAGCCGCGGUAAUACGGAGGGUGCGAGCGUUAAUCGGAAUUACUGGGCGUAAAGCGCUCGUAGGCGGUAUGUCAAGUCAAGGGUGAAAUCCCCGCGCUCAACGUGGGAACUGCCUUUGAAACUGGCAAACUGGGGUGUGUGAGAGGAUAGUGGAAUUCCAGGUGUAGGAGUGAAAUCCGUAGAUAUCUGGAGGAACAUCAGUGGCGAAGGCGACUAUCUGGCACAUAACUGACGCUGAGGAGCGAAAGCGUGGGUAGCAAACAGGAUUAGAUACCCGGGUAGUC
rnacentral:rRNA from 1 species